rnacentral:rRNA from 1 species
UGCAUAUCAAUAAGCGGAGGAAAAGAAACCAACAGGGAUUGCCUCAGUAACGGCGAGUGAAGCGGCAACAGCUCAAAUUUGAAAUCUGGCCCUUUCAGGGUCCGAGUUGUAAUUUGUAGAGGGUGCUUCGGCGUCGGCCGUGGUCUAAGUUCCUUGGAACAGGACGUCACAGAGGGUGAGAAUCCCGUACGUGGCCGCCGGCCUUCGCCAUGUGAAGCCCCUUCGACGAGUCGAGUUGUUUGGGAAUGCAGCUCUAAAUGGGAGAUAAAUUUCUUCUAAAGCUAAAUAUUGGCCAGAGACCGAUAGCGCACAAGUAGAGUGAUCGAAAGAUGAAAAGCACUUUGGAAAGAGAGUCAAAAAGCACGUGAAAUUGUUGAAAGGGAAGCGCUUGCAGCCAGACGUGCCCGCAGUUGCUCACCCGGGCUCUCGCCCGGGGCACUCUUCUGCGGGCAGGCCAGCAUCAGUUCGGGCGGUCGGAUAAAGGCCUCUGUCACGUACCACCCUCCGGGGUGGCCUUAUAGGGGAGGCGCAACACGGCCAGCCUGAACUGAGGACCGCGCAUCAGCUAGGAUGCUGGCGUAAUGGCUGUAAGCGGCCCGUCUUGAAACACGGACCAAU